rnacentral:rRNA from 1 species
GUGACUGCGUACCUUUUGUAUAAUGGGUCAGCGACUUAUAUUCUGUAGCAAGGUUAACCGAAUAGGGGAGCCGAAGGGAAACCGAGUCUUAACUGGGCGUUAAGUUGCAGGGUAUAGACCCGAAACCCGGUGAUCUAGCCAUGGGCAGGUUGAAGGUUGGGUAACACUAACUGGAGGACCGAACCGACUAAUGUUGAAAAAUUAGCGGAUGACUUGUGGCUGGGGGUGAAAGGCCAAUCAAACCGGGAGAUAGCUGGUUCUCCCCGAAAGCUAUUUAGGUAGCGCCUCGUGAAUUCAUCUCCGGGGGUAGAGCACUGUUUCGGCAAGGGGGUCAUCCCGACUUACCAACCCGAUGCAAACUGCGAAUACCGGAGAAUGUUAUCACGGGAGACACACGGCGGGUGCUAACGUCCGUCGUGAAGAGGGAAACAACCCAGACCGCCAGCUAAGGUCCCAAAGUCAUGGUUAAGUGGGAAACGAUGUGGGAAGGCCCAGACAGCCAGGAUGUUGGCUUAGAAGCAGCCAUCAUUUAAAGAAAGCGUAAUAGCUCACUGGUCGAGUCGGCCUGCGCGGAAGAUGUAACGGGGCUAAACCAUGCACCGAAGCUGCGGCAGCGACGCUUAUGCGUUGUUGGGUAGGGGAGCGUUCUGUAAGCCUGUGAAGGUGUGCUGUGAGGCAUGCUGGAGGUAUCAGAAGUGCGAAUGCUGACAUAAGUAACGAUAAAGCGGGUGAAAAGCCCGCUCGCCGGAAGACCAAGGGUUCCUGUCCAACGUUAAUCGGGGCAGGGUGAGUCGACCCCUAAGGCGAGGCCGAAAGGCGUAGUCGAUGGGAAACAGGUUAAUAUUCCUGUACUUGGUGUUACUGCGAAGGGGGGACGGAGAAGGCUAUGUUGGCCGGGCGACGGUUGUCCCGGUUUAAGCGKGUAGGCUGGUUUUCCAGGCAAAUCCGGAAAAUCAAGGCUGAGGCGUGAUGACGAGGCACUACGGUGCUGAAGCAACAAAUGCCCUGCUUCCAGGAAAAGCCUCUAAGCAUCAGGUAACAUCAAAUCGUACCCCAAACCGACACAGGUGGUCAGGUAGAGAAUACCAAGGCGCUUGAGAGAACUCGGGUGAAGGAACUAGGCAAAAUGGUGCCGUAACUUCGGGAGAAGGCACGCUGAUAUGUAGGUGAAG